AUACUUACCUGGCAAAGGAGAUACUGUGAUCAAGAAGGCGGUUCACACAGAGCGAGGCUCAGCCAUUGCACUCCGGCUGUGCUGACCCCUGCGAAUUUCCCAAAUGUUGAAAUCUUCUGGUAGUGGGGGACUGCGUUCGCGCUCUCCCCUG
rnacentral:snRNA from 1 species